rnacentral:rRNA from 1 species
AGUGAACGCUGGCGGUAGGCCUAACACAUGCAAGUCGAACGGCAGCACAGUAAGAGCUUGCUCUUACGGGUGACGAGUGGCGGACGGGUGAGGAAUACAUCGGAAUCUACUUUUUCGUGGGGGAUAACGUAGGGAAACUUACGCUAAUACCGCAUACGACCUACGGGUGAAAGCAGGGGAUCUUCGGACCUUGCGCGAUUGAAUGAGCCGAUGUCGGAUUAGCUAGUUGGCGGGGUAAAGGCCCACCAAGGCGACGAUCCGUAGCUGGUCUGAGAGGAUGAUCAGCCACACUGGAACUGAGACACGGUCCAGACUCCUACGGGAGGCAGCAGUGGGGAAUAUUGGACAAAGGGCGCAAGCCUGAUCCAGCCAUACCGCGUGGGUGAAGAAGGCCUUCGGGUUGUAAAGCCCUUUUGUUGGGAAAGAAAAGCAGCAGGUUAAUACCCCGCUGUUCUGACGGUACCCAAAGAAUAAGCACCGGCUAACUUCGUG